rnacentral:lncRNA from 1 species
AUUAGGCUUGGUCUGUGGCAGAAUGGUGCCCAAGCAGGGACCCCUGGACAGUCUGGGAUGUCUUUGGCAUCUUCAUCUGCAUACCUUCUUUUGCUGCAGGAACACUCUGCUUGGAUGACAUGUCAUGCAAUAUUAAAAUGAAAAGUGACUCUGUGUGCUGGCCUAAGAAGAUCUUGAAGAUAGAGAUGACAGACCACCUGGACAAUGCUUCCUGAUCGUUUUUGUUAAAGGACUGUCACCCUGAAUCGGGAGGCUCCUGGCACUUUGCCCUUCUGCUUGUUGACAUCCCCUGAAGGAGGAGUUCUCAGGACACAUCAGGUGAAUUCUAGCCAUAACAUCAGGCUCCAAAGAGUUUUCUAGCUAAUAAUGUCCACUAUUGAAGACGUUUCGUUCUUGUCUAUUUGCUGGAUGCCUGGGUUAGCAGAAGCUUGUCUAAGGAGUCACUGCCUGUGUUGAAGUGGGCUCUGCAGUGAAAUAGCUGUUGGGAAGUUACCCAAGCUCCUGUAAGUAACCUCACACUGGACUCCUUAGCAACCCCGAAGGAAGCUCAGUAGAUCCUCAAGUUGAAUGUCUGCACAGUUG